rnacentral:misc_RNA from 1 species
AGUCGUAACAAGGUCUCCGUUGGUGAACCAGCGGAGGGAUCAUUACCGAGUUUACAACUCCCAAACCCCAAUGUGAACGUUACCAAUCUGUUGCCUCGGCGGGAUUCUCUGCCCCGGGCGCGUCGCAGCCCCGGAUCCCAUGGCGCCCGCCGGAGGACCAACUCAAACUCUUUUUUCUCUCCGUCGCGGCUUCCGUCGCGGCUCUGUUUUACCUUUGCUCUGAGCCUUUCUCGGCGACCCUAGCGGGCGUCUCGAAAAUGAAUCAAAACUUUCAACAACGGAUCUCUUGGUUCUGGCAUCGAUGAAGAACGCAGCGAAAUGCGAUAAGUAAUGUGAAUUGCAGAAUUCAGUGAAUCAUCGAAUCUUUGAACGCACAUUGCGCCCGCCAGUAUUCUGGCGGGCAUGCCUGUCCGAGCGUCAUUUCAACCCUCGAACCCCUCCGGGGGGUCGGCGUUGGGGAUCGGCCCCUCACCGGGCCGCCCCCGAAAUACAGUGGCGGUCUCGCCGCAGCCUCUCCUGCGCAGUAGUUUGCACACUCGCACCGGGAGCGCGGCGCGGCCACAGCCGUAAAACACCCCAAACUCUGAAAUGUUGACCUCGGAUCAGGUAGGAAUACCCGCUGAACUUAAGCAUAUCAAUAA